rnacentral:ncRNA from 1 species
UGCUGAUAAAAAUUUUAUCGUAAAUCAUUAAAUUUUGCUUUUAUAGUAAUAUACAAGAGAGUUACAGAAAAUUUCUGCUCAAAUUAGACAAACGCUUAAAUUUCAGAUAAAGAAACAUAAAAUUUAGUAUUCGGGAGAGGUUAUUAAUUUUCAUUCUGUAGCACUUAAUAUCAGACUAUAAAAUUAAUCAAAAAAGGAGGGUUGAAAAACAAAGAAAAGAAAAAGAAAUCAUUUGUCUAAACCGCCCUAGUUCUAACCAUAAACGAUGCCAGCCAGCGAUCCGGCUGUGUUCCUCAAAUGACACGCCGGGCAGCUUCCGGGAAACCAAAGCUUUUGGGUUCCG